UUGAGAUAGGAAAAAAAAUAUAUAGUGGGCAAGGUGAACAUCCAACGUAAGCUUGUGUGUUUUUCUUUUGUCAUGCUCUUGAAAAUGUUUGACCGUUUAUAGUAUCCACCGGUGAAGCCUGAUGCUCUGUUGCAUAAAACACUAUUUUUUUGGAAAUGUUACUGUCUGAAAGCCUCUUCCCUCCCUUUCCCCUCUCCUGUGUUCUUCCUUCAUCCUCGCCUGACUGAUCAACCAGGCAGUAGCCAUCAGGAGCUGGAGCGAGGAGCAGGGCCCUUUCCAAGUAGACUCUGGGUGUCCUCAGCCGGGGGGUGCCCUCUGGUCCAGCAGCUGCCAUCGAGUCCCUGGCCCCCAUCUUUAAGGCUUCCAGACCAGGCCACAGCAGACUCUCCAAUUCCCAACUCCAGUGCACUAGGAAGGAGGAGCCGAGGGGGCCAGGGGAGCGCUCGCGAAGGGCCCAUGGGCCUGCGGCCGCAGCAGCUGAGUUCUCCACGUUACCAGAACUGUAGCCAGUUACAGCUUACUCAGGAAAACGGUCGAUCCUUCAGCCAUGGUAGUGCUGGUUGGCAGGGCUUGGUAACGGAGAGAACUGCUCAUCGGCCACCACUCAGACCUGGCCUUGAAGGGGACUGCCAGCUGGAGGGGCCCCGCCUGGCAGUGACUCACACACCAGCCGGUGUGGGGAGGUCUCAGCUCACACCCGCCAGCAAAAAGGGAACAGCAAUUCUCUUUUCUCCCCCCAACCCCACACCCCCACUCCCCGCCCCUGUUACCAAUGCCAGAUUCCCAGGGGGUACAUAUGUUUUUGAAUUUUUUAAAAAAUGUUUUUUGGUUUGGUUUUUCUGGGGACCGAUGAGUGCUUUAAGCAGCAUCAAUACCCUGCCAGGCCCCCAGCCUCUUCAUUUUUUUUUUGUAUUUUUCUGUUCACAGUAUUUUGUGUGUGUGUGUGCAAAGUUUUGGCAGCUCAUUUUGGCUGUAUUAUAUAUCGAGUGAUGAAUUGAUCCUUUUUUUUCCCCUAUGGGAUAUUAAUUGUUUUCUCCUUGUGUUAUAAUCCUGCUUGUGAACAGCUGGAGCAAACCUGGGGCUGAUACACUAAGCUAGGGCUGCAGAGUGCUGAGAGAGCAGGGCGGGUUGGCUUGUCCCCGACAGGCUGACCCACCUGAGUCUCUGAGCUUUUCAGUCCAAAUCUCUGCAAGGCUAAAAUCGCCAGCAAACCUCCCCUCUUCUCCCCGCUCCCCGUGGCAGGGACGAAACCAUCCCUACUUGCAGUUUCUUAGGCCCCCUCCUGUUGCCAUGGCAAAACAGGUACCUGCAGGGCACGGGGGCCUCCCGUGGGAUGCUCACAUAAUCCACCGCCUCGCCUUUUCUCCCUCCCCUUCCUGCCCUCCGGAAUCAGUUCCUAGGACACCCGAGCUGCUUGCCCAGGGUCCUGUUUCCCUGCCAACUCCAGAGAAGCACCCAGGGCUUUGUGACAGUCUCUAAUCCCUUCCCUCUCGUUAAGAAUCAUAUUGUAUAGUAGCUUUUAGACCACACAGUAUUCAUUGGGUUACUCUUAUUAUUAUCAAGUAGCUGGAAUUGUGAAGGUCGGAGUAGUUAGAUCUUUAGCUUUGAUUCCUUAUUUUUUUUUUGUAUUACUAUCCAUGUGUAUAAAUUAUUGAUCAUGUUGCUGGCUUUUAUAAACUCUAAGCGAAGGAAGAGCACUGCCUCUGCCUUCGCAAAUGGUAAUGAAGCACUGUUUUUAAAUAAAAGAGAGAAACACCAUUCUCCUGCCUGCGUGUGUUGAUCCUCAGCGAUCCCGCUGUUGCCUCCCCGUGAGGCUCCCAAGGUAGAGGUUGGAUCCGAAUUCUAAGAUGGAGAAAGGAAGGCGGCAAAUGCAGAGCUCCCUGAAUGAGACGCCUGCUCUCCAGCCCCUCGGGAGCUGCCUUCCUGUCUCUCCCUCAGAAAUUUCCCCUUCCCUUGCGCUCUCCCAUCCUCUCCACGAGUCCCCGCUGCUGCCCUCACCUGCUUCAGAAACUGCUGCCUCUCCCCUGGCUCCCUGGCUGCUAUGCAAGCUCCCGAGCCACCCUUCCUUAGAAUUCGAUCCAGAAACCCGAAAGACUCAGCCUCGUGGGCUCGUGGUUUUCAGCCAAGGCGAGCAUUAUGGGCGUGGCCUCCCAAGAAGACACGCUCAUGCUCGUCCCACUGUGACCUCCAACACUCGUGAGGGUGAGCCUGUUCAACUGCUGGAGGAAGCUGAGUUAAGACCAGCAGACCCUGAGUUGGUCCUCUCUUUUUAGAAAAGUAUUUUUGAUGUAUUAUCUAUUUCCAAUUCAUAAACUAAUUCAAACCAUAGAGAUCACAUCAAAGGAAAAAAGGAACGAGACGACCUCUAAAUAACCAUAGCUUCNNNNNNNNNNNNNNNNNNNNNNNNNNNNNNNNNNNNNNNNNNNNNNNNNNNNNNNNAUCCCUGGGUCAGGAAGAUCCCCUGGAGAAGGAAAUGGCAGCCCACUCGAGUAUUCUUGUCUGGGAAAUCCCAUGGAUAGAGGAGCCUGGUGGACUAUAGUCCACAGGGUCACAAGAGUUGGACGCAACUUAGCAACUAGGCAGCCACCACCAUAGCUGCAAUGUGACCUUGCUCAGCUUCCUUGCAAGGUUUUGUUCUCUCUACUCCCAGGUUUGAAAGGUGUGUUUCCCCUGGUUAGAGUCUAAGUGAGAAAGUGCAUGCAGUGUUCACCCUGCCUUGUCCGCCGUACUUGAUAAACAUUUUCCAUGUGAAUCCAGUUAAUGGCUCUCGUGAACAUCCUCUUGAUCACUACACUAUGGUCUCUCCAGUGGAGGAAUGGUUUGUAUUUAACAAGUCUUGACUCCUAGUGUUGGAACGUUUCAACUGUGUCCAAUUUUUCACGGUUCUAAAUUCCGCUGAGAUAAAGGGAUAACUGUCUCUCAGUAACGGCUUCUGUCAAAUUGCUGACUUUUCCUCGGGGUGCCAGGAAAGUAGAUCAGAUCUCAGCAGUGCUGUGGGCUGUGAUGAGAGAUGGGGUGGGGGCAGGGCAAGGAAGGAUGUAGACCAGCCGCAGAGCGUAGUUGAUUUUAAAGGAUUUUUUUUUUCAUUUUAGUCAUAAAUAUAUUGUGUGGUUUUAUACAANNNNNNNNNNNNNNNNNNNNNNNNNNNNNNNNNNNNNNNNNNNNNNNNNNNNNNNNNNNNNNNNNNNNNNNNNNNNNNNNNNNNNNNNNNNNNNNNNNNGAUUUUUUUUUUUCAUUUUAGUCAUAAAUAUAUUGUGUGGUUUUAUACAAUUUGGAAAAUGUGUUCUGAAUAUGUCCCAAGGUCAGCUGAAAUUCACAUGAAUAUGUAGGUCUUCUUGGUCUCCAGCCCCACUUGUCCACACCGAAAAUCUGGUCUCUGACAAACUUUCCUUCCAUCCCAGGUGUUCCUGGUGUCCGCAAGGGGUGAUCA
ensembl:lncRNA